rnacentral:rRNA from 1 species
AUUGAACGCUGGCGGCAGGCCUAACACAUGCAAGUCGAACGAGUGGCGGACGGGUGAGUAAUAUCUGGGAAACUGCCUGAUGGAGGGGGAUAACUACUGGAAACUGUAGCUAAUACCGCAUUCACUCAUAUGUGCCCAGAUGGGAUUAGCUAGUUGGUGGGGUAAGGGCUCACCAAGGCGACGAUCCCUAGCUGGUCUGAGAGGAUGACCAGCCACACUGGAACUGAGACACGGUCCAGACUCCUACGGGAGGCAGCAGUGGGGAAUAUUGCACAAUGGGCGCAAGCCUGAUGCAGCCAUGCCGCGUGUAUGAAGAAGGCCUUCGGGUUGUAAAGUACUUUCAGCGGGGAGGCGUUACCCGCAGAAGAAGCACCGGCUAACUCCGUGCCAGCAGCCGCGGUAAUUC